CCCUGGCAAGGACGGGUUCCACCGCGGUCUCCACCGCGCAGCGGCGUUGGGGCGGCCCGGGCGUCCGCCGCGGGGGUGGGCGUGGCGCUGCGCGGGAGGGACCCGCAGACGGCAGAGGGUCCGCGGGGAGCGGGCGGGGCGUUGAGAGCGCGCACACAGACACCCAAAAAACACACAAACAAGCGGCCCCUGUGCCGCGGCGGAACGCGCUGUGCUCGCGGCCGUCCGGCCCGUCCGGCAGCCCCGGGUCAGCCCGGUGAACUAAGCGGACCCGGGAUGGCCGAGCCGGGGGCCGGCGUUCUGUGCUCCGUUUGCUCACCCUGACCGUGGCACCCGCAUAAGCCGUCUGUGUGUUCCAGAGAGGCCAGCCCUGCAUGUGCUGUCCGUGAGCGUGCUUGGACCUACGCAUAGGACCCAGCUGAGCGGGACAUUUACACGACUGCUGGGGUCGAGGGCAGAACAGGGGGAAACUGUGUUCUGGCGGAGGCACAGCACCCCGGGAGCACCCAGAGCCUGUGAGUAGAGCCAUAGGUAAGCCAAGCUUCACUCGGCUCCAGCCCCUCGCUUCUGCCCCUGCAGGGGUCCCAUGGUUGCCCCAAGAGGCAUCAGCACCAAACUGGCCUCCCCCACCUCCCCACCAUCAGUGCUAAGGGUCCCAGCUUGCUCGGGAGCCAGUGUUUCCCCACCAGGCUCUCUCCGGCCCACCCAUGAAGCCUGAUUCUGCACUUGGCGCAGGAUAUGGGAGUGAGCGGAUGGGUGAAGCAGCGGAUGGGUAGGCAGGGAGAGACCAUGGGGGGAUGCAGGCAAGAUGGCGGCCCCAUGAAGGGGAAGGUGGGGGAGGAUACAUACCCUGGAAGAGGGGGCAGAUCUUCCUCCAGGCUGUGACACUCCCUUGGCUGGUGUAUUGGCCCAACGCCACCUCCAGGAAGAACACCGGGAUGCCGCAGACAAAGAAGAAGAUGAAGUAGGGGAUGAAGAAGGCUCCUGCAGAAGAGAGAGAGGCAGGGCUGAGCCACACCCGGGCUCUUCCUCAGCCUCCAUCCUUUCAGACCCUCCUCCCCCAACAAACCCGCCCUCCACCAUCCUGUUCUUAAUCUCCCUCCUGACACUUUCCAAGGGCCCACUCCUGCCUGCGUGCAGUCCUGAGUGUUAGGCAGGCACAGGUGGGAAUGUUCUGAUCUGAACCCUACACAGAAUGAGAAAGGCCUUGGAAGGGAAAUUAGUGAAAACUUAGGUGGAAAUUCUAAUAUAUGCACUAUUUAUUUUCUUAGUGUGCUUUACAAAUCUAGUCAAUAGAUUAUUUUUGGAAUAAACACAUGGCUUCUGUAUAACUUGAUAUGCUUAUUAAACUCUUGGUACAUUUUAGAGAAAAACAAACACAAACACCUCAGAAGCAUUAUUUUCCCACUAAUAAUUUUCAGGGUGUUUGUUGCCUCCACCCAGUUCUGAUCUGAACUGGGCUCCCAGCAGAGAAGGCCAUCACGUGAUUAGGUGCCAACCUGCAGGUGCCAGAGGGAGGCCAGGCCUAACAGACAUCCAGCAGGUUACACAGGAAUGGAAUCUGAAGACCACACCCAGGAGACCCACUUCAGUAGGAGUCACUAAGGCAUAAAGCUCGAGUGAGAAGUUCAUCUCAGGGUGAAUGGAUUAUUGCGUGUUACACCAUGAGAACGCUGAGUGCUUAUUUGGUGCCUACUUCAUGUCAGGCACUCUUGUACGUACUUCAUCAACAUCACAGUCCUUGCAAAACAACCUCCCAUGGGGCAGGCUCUACUGUUAUCCCCAUUUUGCAGAUAAUAAAACUGAGGUCGCUUUAAAGACGGAAAAACCGAAGCAUGAAUGAGGAAACUGAG
rnacentral:lncRNA from 10 species